rnacentral:piRNA from 1 species
UGAUAAGUGAAUGAGUUGAUUUCACUAAA